ensembl:miRNA Mir6380 microRNA 6380
AGCUUCUGGUGGUUGUAAGCAACUAUGUGGAUACUGGGAAUCAGACCUGGGUCCUCUGUAAGUGCUUUUAACUGCUGAGCC